rnacentral:rRNA from 1 species
AACAAACGCUGGCGGCGUGCCUAAUACAUGCAAGUCGAACGGGGAAAGCUUUCGGGUGAGUACUAGUGGCGCACGGGUGAGUAACGCGUGGAUAAUCUGCCUUAGAGUGGGGGAUAGCUAGUCGAAAGAUUAGCUAAUACCGCAUAAGACCACAGGAACCGAGGUUCUAGAGGUCAAAGGUUUUUCGCUCUAAGAUGAGUCCGCGUAAGAUUAGCUAGUUGGUGAGGUAACGGCUCACCAAGGCAACGAUCUUUAACUGGUCUGAGAGGAUGAGCAGUCACACUGGAACUGAGACACGGUCCAGACUCCUACGGGAGGCAGCAGUAGGGAAUAUUGCACAAUGGAGGAAACUCUGAUGCAGCGACGCCGCGUGAGUGAUGAAGGCCUUCGGGUCGUAAAGCUCUGUCGCAGGGGAAUAACACAAUGAAUGUACCCUGUAAGAAAGGACCGGCUAACUUCGUGCCAGCCGCCGCGGUAAUAC